CGGACGGGUGAGUAAUGUCUGGGAAACUGCCCGAUGGAGGGGGAUAACUACUGGAAACGGUAGCUAAUACCGCAUAACGUCGCAAGACCAAAGAGGGGACCUUAGGGCCUCUUGCCAUCGGAUGUGCCCAGAUGGGAUUAGCUAGUAGGUGGGGUAAUGGCUCACCUAGGCGACGAUCCCUAGCUGGUCUGGGAGGAUGACCAGCCACACUGGAACUGAGACACGGUCCAG
rnacentral:rRNA from 1 species